rnacentral:rRNA from 1 species
CACAUCCAAGGAUGGCAGCAGGCGCGCAAAUUACCCAAUCCCGACACGGGGAGGUAGUGACAAUAAAUAACAAUACGGGGUCCUUUCGGGUUUCGUAAUUGGAAUGAGUACAAUUUAAAUCUCUUAACGAGGAACAAUUGGAGGGCAAGUCUGGUGCCAGCAGCCGCGGUAAUUCCAGCUCCAAUAGCGUAUAUUAAAGUUGUUGCAGUUAAAAAGCUCGUAGUUGAAUUUCGGGAUUAGUACGUUGGUCGUGCCUUAGGUACGUACUGGUGUUACUGGUUCCUACCUUCUGACGAACCAUCAUGUCAUUAAUUUGGUGUGGUGGGGAAUCAGGACUGUUACUUUGAAAAAAUUAGAGUGUUUAAAGCAGGCUCGCGCUUGAAUACAUUAGCAUGGAAUAAUGAAAUAGGACGUUGAUCCUAUUUUGUUGGUUUCUAGGAUUGACGUAAUGAUUAAUAGGGAUAGUUGGGGGCAUUAGUAUUCAAUUGUCAGAGGUGAAAUUCUUGGAUUUAUUGAAGACUAACUACUGCGAAAGCAUUUGCCAAGGAUGUUUUCAUUAAUCAAGAACGAAAGUUAGGGGAUCGAAGACGAUCAGAUACCGUCGUAGUCUUAACCAUAAACUAUGCCGACUAGGGAUCGGAUGAUGUUAUUUUUAAUGACUCAUUCGGCGCCUUACGGGAAACCAAAGUGUUUGGGUUCCGGGGGGAGUAUGGUCGCAAGGCUGAAA